AAAAUUUGGGAAUUCCAGGACUGGAAAUUUGGGAAUUUCAGGUCUGGAAAUUUGGGAAUUCUGACCCUGGAAAUUUGGGAAUUCUGGUCCCAGAAUUUUGGGAAUUCCAGGCCUGGAAAUUUGGGAAUUCUGGCCCUGGAAAUUUGGGAAUUCUGGCCCUGGAAAUUUGGGAAUUCUGGCCCCAAAAACUGGGAAUUUGGGCCCCAAAAUUUGGGAAUUCUGGUCCCAAAAAUUUGGGAAUUCUGGUCCCAGAAAUUUGGGGAUUCUGGCUCCGGAAAUUUGUGAAUUCUGGCCCCAAAAAUUUGGGAAUUCCAGGCCUGAAAAUUUUGGGAAUUCUGGCCCUGGAAAUUUGGGAAUUCCGGCCCCAAAAAUUGGGAAUUCUGGUCCCAGAAAUUUGGGAAUUUCAAUUUAUUUAGAUUUUUCCUCAAAUUUCCCUGGAUUCUUCCCAAAUUCCCUCACAUUCUCCGGGUUUUUCCCGGAAUUCUCGGGAAUUUUCCGGGAAUUUUCCGGGAUUUUCCCCGCGUUCCCUGUCCCGGUUCCCGGCCGGAGCCGCUCCCGGUUUUACCGGGGCUCGUUCCGUUCCAUUCCCCCCCCACACCGGCCCGGUGCUCCCCAUCCACCGGGAUCCCCCCGGGGUUACCCCACGGAAGUUUCCCCUCGCCUUUCCCCGUUCUCCCGGUGCUACCGGGGCCGCCCCACGGGCGGCCCCGGUAGCACCGGGAGAGCGGGGAAAGGCGUGGAAAAGCCUCAAACUCCGCCUCAGGACCCUCUGGGCUCGCCCUCCCCCAGCUCCACGUACCGCGGGCGGCGGGCCCGGCCCGCUCGGGGCUCAGCGGCGGCCGCGGCCUCCUCCCGGUGUCCCCGCCCGGCCCCGCCACGCCGGAAGUGCCGCUCCGACCGGAAGUACCGCGCCAACCGGAAGUGCCUCUCCAGCCGCAACUCGAUGGUAAAGGCGGAGCGAGGGGGCGUGGCUUAACAUGGCAAAGUCCCGCCCUUUCCGUAUCGCUAUUGGUUGGAGGCGCCUCACGUGACCCGCCCUCCCCGCGCGUUGAUUGGUUGAGGUCGCGCACUUCCGGGAGCGCCCGCGGCGGCGGCGGCGGCGCCGUGCCCGGUGAGCGCGCGCGGCGGGAGGUGCGAGCGCCCCCUGGUGGCGGGAGGGGAGGGAGGGAGGUCCCGCUCCCGGUGCCGCUCCCGGUCCCGGUGGCCCCGGUGUAUCGUUCGUAGCUUGUUCCGUUUCCCGCGGUCCUGUCCCCGGUGUCCCGGCGGCCCCCGGUGGUCGCGGUGCCCAGCAGGGAGAUGCUCUCGGUGCCUUCGCGUUGCCG
ensembl:lncRNA